GCCCGGGUGGUGAAAUCGGUAGACACAAGGGAUUUAAAAUCCCUCGGGGGUAACCCCGUGCCGGUUCAAGUCCGGCCCCGGGCA